GACGAACGCUGGCGGCGUGCUUAACACAUGCAAGUCGAGCGGUAAGGCCCUUUCGGGGGUACGACGAGCGGCGAACGGGUGAGUAACACGUGGGUGACCUGCCCUCCAGCUCUGGGAGUAAGCCUGGGAAACGUGGGUCUAAUACUGGAUAUGACUCCACGGUGCAUGUCGUGGGGUGGAAAGCCUUGUGCGGCUGAGGAUGGGCCCGCGGCCUAUCAGC
rnacentral:rRNA from 1 species